rnacentral:rRNA from 1 species
GACGAACGCUGGCGGCGUGCUUAACACAUGCAAGUCGAACGGUGAUGCUCCAGCUUGCUGGCGUGGAUCAGUGGCGAACGGGUGAGUAACACGUGAGCAACCUGCCCCAGACUCUGGAAUAAGCGCUGGAAACGGCGUCUAAUACUGGAUACGAAACUGGCCCGCAUGGGCAUGGUUUGGAAAGUUUUUCGGUUUGGGAUGGGCUCGCGGCCUAUCAGCUUGUUGGUGAGGUAAUGGCUCACCAAGGCGACGACGGGUAGCCGGCCUGAGAGGGCGACAGGCCACACUGGGACGGGGACACGGCCCAGACUCCUCAGGGAGGCAGCAGUGGGGAAUAUUGCAUAAUGGGCGAAAGCCUGAUGCAGCGACGCAGCGUGGGGGAUGACGGCCUUCGGGUUGUAAGCCUCUUUCAGCAGGGAAGAAGAGAAUGUCAGGGUCCCUGCAGGAGGAGGAACCGCUAACUACGUG